GCCUACACAUGCAAGUCGAGCGGCAGCGACUUAACUGAACCUUCGGGGAACGUUAAGGGCGGCGAGCGGCGAACGGGUGAGUAAUGCCUGGGAAUAUGCCCUGAUGUGGGGGAUAACUAUUGGAAACGAUAGCUAAUACCGCAUAAUCUCUUCGGAGCAAAGAGGGGGACCUUCGGGCCUCUCGCGUCAGGAUUAGCCCAGGUGGGAUUAGCUUGUUGGUGAGGUAAUGGCUCACCAAGGCAACGAUCCCUAGCUGGUCUGAGAGGAUGAUCAGCCACACUGGAACUGAGACACGGUCCAGACUCCUACGGGAGGCAGCAGUGGGGAAUAUUGCACAAUGGGGGAAACCCUGAUGCAGCCAUGCCGCGUGUAUGAAGAAGGCCUUCGGGUUGUAAAGUACUUUCAGUAGGGAGGAAGGCAGUGUCGUUAAUAGCGGCAUUGUUUGACGUUACCUACAGAAGAAGCACCGGCUAACUCCGUGCCAGCAGCCGCGGUAAUACGGAGGGUGCGAGCGUUAAUCGGAAUUACUGGGCGUAAAGCGCAUGCAGGCGGUCUGUUAAGCAAGAUGUGAAAGCCCGGGGCUCAACCUCGGAACAGCAUUUUGAACUGGCAGACUAGAGUCUUGUAGAGGGGGGUAGAAUUUC
rnacentral:rRNA from 1 species